CUACGGAGGGUGCAAGCGUUAAUCGGAAUUACUGGGCGUAAAGCGCGCGUAGGCGGUUAUUUAAGUCAGAUGUGAAAGCCCCGGGCUCAACCUGGGAAUUGCCUCUGAUACUGGGUAACUAGAGUUUGGAAGAGGGGAGUAGAAUUUCAGGUGUAGCGGUGAAAUGCAUAGAGAUCUGAAGGAAUACCAGUGGCGAAGGCGGCUCCCUGGUCCAGAACUGACGCUGAGGUGCGAAAGCGUGGGUAGCAAACGGGAUUAGAUACCCCGGUAGUCCACGCCGUAAACGAUGUCAACUAGCCGUUGGGUGCCUUGUGCACUUAGUGGCGCAGCUAACGCAUUAAGUUGACCGCCUGGGGAGUACGGUCGCAAGACUAAAACUCAAAGGAAUUGACGGGGGCCCGCACAAGCGGUGGAGCAUGUGGUUUAAUUCGAUGCAACGCGAAGAACCUUACCAUCCCUUGACAUCCUAGGACCGCCAGAGAGAUUUGGCUUUCACUUCGGUGACCUAGUGACAGGUGCU
rnacentral:rRNA from 1 species